UACGGAGGGAGCUAGCGUUGUUCGGAAUUACUGGGCGUAAAGCGCGCGUAGGCGGCUUUGUAAGUUAGAGGUGAAAGCCCGGGGCUCAACCCCGGAAUUGCCUUUAAGACUGCAUCGCUAGAAUCCAGGAGAGGUGAGUGGAAUUCCGAGUGUAGAGGUGAGAUUCGUAGAUAUUCGGAAGAACACCAGUGGCGAAGGCGGCUCACUGGACUGGUAUUGACGCUGAGGUGCGAAAGCGUGGGGAGCAAACAGG
rnacentral:rRNA from 1 species